rnacentral:rRNA from 1 species
CAUCCCACGUCCACCGCCGCACCGCUCCACUAAUGCCUAGGAAAUUGCCCUGAUGUGGGGGAUAACCAUUGGAAACGAUGGCUAAUACCGCAUAAUGCCUACGGGCCAAAGAGGGGGACCUUCGGGCCUCUCGCGUCAGGAUAUGCCUAGGUGGGAUUAGCUAGUUGGUGAGGUAAGGGCUCACCAAGGCGACGAUCCCUAGCUGGUCUGAGAGGAUGAUCAGCCACACUGGAACUGAGACACGGUCCAGACUCCUACGGGAGGCAGCAGUGGGGAAUAUUGCACAAUGGGCGCAAGCCUGAUGCAGCCAUGCCGCGUGUGUGAAGAAGGCCUUCGGGUUGUAAAGCACUUUCAGUCGUGAGGAAGGUAGUGUAGUUAAUAGCUGCAUUAUUUGACGUUAGCGACAGAAGAAGCACCGGCUAACUCCGUGCCAGCAGCCGCGGUAAUACGGAGGGUGCGAGCGUUAAUCGGAAUUACUGGGCGUAAAGCGCAUGCAGGUGG